ACUUCAACUCCAUGGUGUCCUGCUUGACAGACACGAGUUCAACCUGUAACGACGUGCUGGAGGACUGGUGUGAAGAAUCUGAAAAAUGGACUAUCCAGUUAUUUGAGUCUGCAUGGGAAGGACACCGUCGGCUCCGGAUUUGAUUACUUUUGUUUUUAAAUAUUUCCACGUGAUGUUCACCACUGGCCACACUUCAUCAGGAGAAACUCCCACAUUAGAGAUGUGUCCUUUGUGUGGAAGCUGAACAAAUAAGAGGGCUCUGUGUCCAACAGUGCGCUGCUUUGCAGGUCAGAAGGCCUGAGCUUUGUCUGAAACUUCCUUGGAGAUGCAGAAACAUCUAUCUUUGAGGCAUCUGCCUUCAAAAUACCUGGAGAUCGCUGAGGCAGUACUUCAGAGAAAGAUAGUGUUGUUGGAUGUUCCCUUCUGGUAGAGACCGUGGAACAGGAAUGACCAUCUUGAAUGGAAGGAUGUUUCUGAAGGUGCGGUGAAGAUUUGUACAUCUUGAAAAAGUGGUGCUACAAGAAGCCAGAGAAAAGUUCUGGGAGAAAACAUCAUUGCAGAAGGGCACAGGGAAAUCACCUUCACAGAAGAUAUUUGAGGAAAAGGAGACAGCCCAUCCUUGAUCUUACCUGUAAGCACAUGCCUUCCUGAUGUGGACAAGGUAACUUGAAGCUUAGCAUGGCUGAGGAAGUCUUUGAAUGAGAACAAUUUAUUUCAUUUGCAAAACAAAGGAAAUCCAUCCAGAGCUUAAUCCAAUCCUGCUCAGAGACAACAAAGCCUACAAAAACCUCUAUGUUUGAAAAAAAUGCUGUGAUGGCUGCCAAGUCAGUCACUGAGAAGUUACUAAAUAUUAAAAUGGAGUCUUCCUUAGUAUAACUCUUGUAUGCAUGUAAUUGGAUUUUAACUUUUAAAUGAAUAAACACCAACUGACAAU
rnacentral:lncRNA from 7 species